UACGUAGGGUGCGAGCGUUGUCCGGAUUUAUUGGGCGUAAAGAGCUCGUAGGCGGUUUGUCGCGUCGGCCGUGAAAUCUCCACGCUUAACGUGGAGGGGCCAUUCGAAACUGCUGUGACUCGAGUCCGGUAGGGGAGUGUGGAAUUCCCGGUGUAGCGGUGAAAUGCGCAGAUAUCGGGAGGAACACCAGUAGCGAAGGCGGCACUCUGGGCCGGAACUGACGCUGAGGAGCGAAAGCGUGGGGAGCGAACAGG
rnacentral:rRNA from 1 species